GACGAACGCUGGCGGCGUGCUUAACACAUGCAAGUCGAACGAUGAAGCCCUUCGGGGUGGAUUAGUAGCGAACGGGUGAGUAACACGUGGGCAAUCUGCCCUUCACUCUGGGACAAGCCCUGGAAACGGGGUCUAAUACCGGAUAACACCGGCUUCCGCAUGGGAGCUGGUUGAAAGCUCCGGCGGUGAAGGAUGAGCCCGCGGCCUAUCAGCUUGUUGGUGGGGUAAUGGCCUACCAAGGCGACGACGGGUAGCCGGCCUGAGAGGGCGACCGGCCACACUGGGACUGAGACACGGCCCAGACUCCUACGGGAGGCAGCAGUGGGGAAUAUUGCACAAUGGGCGAAAGCCUGAUGCAGCGACGCCGCGUGAGGGAUGACGGCCUUCGGGUUGUAAACCUCUUUCAGCAGGGAAGAAGCGAAAGUGACGGUACCUGCAGAAGAAGCGCCGGCUAACUACGUGCCAGCAGCCGCGGUAAUACGUAGGGCGCAAGCGUUGUCCGGAAUUAUUGGGYGUAAAGAGCUCGUAGGCGGCUUGUCACGUCGGGUGUGAAAGCCCGGGGCUUAACCCCGGGUCUGCAYCCGAUACGGGCAGGCUAGAGUGUGGUAGGGGAGAUCGGAAUUCCUGGUGUAGCGGUGAAAUGCGCAGAUAUCAGGAGGAACACCGGUGGCGAAGGCGGAUCUCUGGGCCAUUACUGACGCUGAGGAGCGAAAGCGUGGGGAGCGAACAGGAUUAGAUACCCUGGUAGUCCACGCCGUAAACGUUGGGAACUAGGUGUUGGCGACAUUCCACGUCGUCGGUGCCGCAGCUAACGCAUUAAGUUCCCCGCCUGGGGAGUACGGCCGCAAGGCUAAAACUCAAAGGAAAUGACGGGGGCCCGCACAAGCAGCGGAGCAUGUAGCUUAAUUCGACGCAGCGCGAAGAACCUUACCAAGGCUCGACAUAUACCGGAAAGCAUUAGAGAUAGUGCCCCCCUUGUGGUCGGUAUACAGGUGGUGCAUGGCUGUCGUCAGCUCGUGUCGUGAGAUGUUGGGUUAAGUCCCGCAACGAGCGCAACCCUUGUCCUGUGUUGCCAGCAUGCCCUUCGGGGUGAUGGGGACUCACAGGAGACCGCCGGGGUCAACUCGGAGGAAGGUGGGGACGACGUCAAGUCAUCAUGCCCCUUAUGUCUUGGGCUGCACACGUGCUACAAUGGCCGGUACAAAGAGCUGCGAUGCCGCGAGGCGGAGCGAAUCUCAAAAAGCCGGUCUCAGUUCGGAUUGGGGUCYGCAACUCGACCCCAUGAAGUCGGAGUUGCUAGUAAUCGCAGAUCAGCAUUGCUGCGGUGAAUACGUUCCCGGGCCUUGUACACACCGCCCGUCACGUCACGAAAGUCGGUAACACCCGAAGCCGGUGGCCCAACCCCUUGUGGGAGGGAGCUGUCGAAGGUGGGACUGGCGAUCGGGACG
rnacentral:rRNA from 1 species